UACGUAGGGUGCGAGCGUUGUCCGGAAUUAUUGGGCGUAAAGGGCUCGUAGGCGGUUUGUCGCGUCGGGAGUGAAAAUCCAGGGCUUAACUCUGGACUGGCUUCCGAUACGGGCAGACUAGAGGUAUGCAGGGGAGAACGGAAUUCCUGGUGUAGCGGUGAAAUGCGCAGAUAUCAGGAGGAACACCGAUGGCGAAGGCAGGUCUCUGGGCCACUACUGACGCUGAGAAGCGAAAGCGUGGGGAGCGAACAGG
rnacentral:rRNA from 1 species